rnacentral:rRNA from 1 species
GAGAUGGCGACCGGCGCACGGGUGCGCAACGCGUAUGGAACCUGCCCCUGUCGGGGGAAUAGCCCGGGGAAACCCGGAUUAAUGCCCCGUAGUAUCCCGUAGCGGCAUCGCUUGCGGGAUUAAAGAUUUAUCGGACAGGGAUGGCCAUGCGUACCAUUAGCUGGUUGGUGGGGUAACGGCCCACCAAGGCUACGAUGGUUAGGGGCCCUGAGAGGGGGAUCCCCCACACUGGUACUGAGACACGGACCAGACUCCUACGGGAGGCAGCAGUGAGGAAUAUUGGACAAUGGGCGGAGGCCUGAUCCAGCCAUGCCGCGUGCGGGAAGACGGCCCUACGGGUCGUAAACCGCUUUUGUACGGGAAGAAACCUGUCCACGCGUGGACAGCUGACGGUACCGUAAGAAUAAGGACCGGCUAACUCCGUGCCAGCAGCCGCGGUAAUACGGAGGGUCCGAGCGUUAUCCGGAAUCAUUGGGUUUAAAGGGUCCGUAGGCGGGCCGUUAAGUCAGGGGUGAAAUACUGCGGCUCAACCGUAGAGGUGCCCUUGAUACUGGCGGUCUUGAGUCACGGUGGGGCGGCCGGAAUAUGUGGUGUAGCGGUGAAAUGCAUAGAUAUCACAUAGAACACCGAUCGCGAAGGCAGGUCGCCAACCGUGUACUGACGCUGAUGGACGAAAGCGUGGGGAGCGAACGGGAUUAGAUACCCCGGUAGUCCACGCCGUAAACGAUGGACACUAGCUGUCGGGCCCUCGGGCUCGGCGGCCAAGCGAAAGUGAUAAGUGUCCCACCUGGGGAGUACGUUCGCAAGAAUGAAACUCAAAGGAAUUGACGGGGGCCCGCACAAGCGGUGGAGCAUGUGGUUUAAUUCGAUGAUACGCGAGGAACCUUACCAGGGCUUAAAUGCAUUAUGACAGGUCCAGAGAUGGACUUUUCUUCGGAC